rnacentral:rRNA from 1 species
UACGGGGGGAGCAAGCGUUGUUCGGAUUUACUGGGCGUAAAGGGCGCGUAGGCGGCCACCGCAAGUCGGUUGUGAAAUCUCUGGGCUUAACCCAGAAAGGUCAACCGAUACUGCGGGGCUAGAGUGCAGAAGGGGCAACUGGAAUUCUCGGUGUAGCGGUGAAAUGCGUAGAUAUCGAGAGGAACACCGGUGGCGAAGGCGGCAUCCUGGACCGGUAUUGACACUGAGGCGCGAAAGCCAGGGGAGCAAACGGG